GGAUGAACGCUGGCGGCGUGCUUACCCCAUGCAAGUCGAACGGAAAGGCCCAAGCUUGCUUGGGUACUCGAGUGGCGAACGGGUGAGUAACACGUGGGUGAUCUGCCCUGCACUUCGGGAUAAGCCUGGGAAACUGGGUCUAAUACCGGAUAGGACCACAUUUUGGAUGGUGUGGUGGAAAGUUUUUCGGUGUGGGAUGAGCUCGCGGCCUAUCAGCUUGUUGGUGGGGUAAUGGCCUACCAAGGCGUCGACGGGUAGCCGGCCUGAGAGGGUGUACGGCCACAUUGGGACUGAGAUACGGCCCAGACUCCUACGGGAGGCAGCAGUGGGGAAUAUUGCACAAUGGGCGCAAGCCUGAUGCAGCGACGCCGCGUGGGGGAUGACGGCCUUCGGGUUGUAAACUCCUUUCGCUAGGGACGAAGCGCAAGUGACGGUACCUGGAGAAGAAGCACCGGCUAACUACGUG
rnacentral:rRNA from 1 species